UCAUUUACAUGUACAAAUUUAUUAUUAACAGUAUUGUAUUUACAUGUACAAAUAAUUGUGAUUUGAAGCCCAUUAUUUGUAGGCAUAAUGCUCUUUAAAAAAAAUGUUACCUAAUAGUAAAAACAUAUAACUUGGCUGAUAAAUUCAAAAAGAACAAUGGUCAUGCAACAAUAACCAUAACCAUACAAACAAAAGCUUUAAUGAGCAUUACAAACAUACAAACAAAACCAUAUUCAUUUGGGAAACAACAGAACCUGCUACAUCAAUACUAACCUGUAAUGCUCAAAUCUGGGACGACUGCGAUGUGGAAGUGUUGGAAAAAUGUUACCUGUAAUGAGAAAAGUGCUCGGAUCAACCUUUUUUUUUGGGGAAAAUAUUUAUGCUAUAGCUAAAUAUAGUAUAUCAAAGCACAGAACAACCAUACACCAAUCAUCAUCCAUGAACCAUAUUUUAAAUAUGAUAUCGAUCAAAACAGUAUCUAGAUAGUUUAUUAAAUCCCCUUGCCUACCAAUCAUCAAUACUUACAAUUAUGCAACAAUCACCUUUUAAGUACUUAAAUGGACCGUUAACUUUCUAGAGUAGUCUUACCUUCUGCUCUAUUCCAGGAACUUUGAGAACUUUCUUAUUAACCUCUCUCUUACUGCAAAAACAUAAGAAAAAUAAAACAUUUAGCCACUGGUUAUAGGCUUAUAGC
rnacentral:lncRNA from 1 species